CCAACGUGCCCGCCUUUCGAGUUCAUGCACGACGCCUGUGCUCUUAACAUCGAUUCUGUCCAAUGCGCCCGUGUUUCGAGUUCAUGCACUCUUAACCUCGAUUCUGUCCAACGCGCCCGCGUUUCGAGUUCAUGCACGACGCCUGUGCUCUUAACCUCGAUUCUGUCCAAUGUGCCCGCGUUUCGAGUUCAUGCACGACGCCUGUGCUCUUAACCUCGAUUCUGUCCAACGCGCCCGCGUUUCGAGUUCAUGCACGACGCCUGUGCUCUUAACCUCGAUUCUGUCCAACGCGCCCGCGUUUCGAGUUCAUGCACGACGCCUGUGCUGCGCCACGGGCUCCUCAAGCUUGCGCCGUAGCUUCAUCGCGCGUGUGUGCUAGCUGCUGGGUUCGUCUGUGUCCUACUCCUUCUGAUUUACUCGUUGUGGUUUUAGUUCAAAUUUGAACUAACCAUGACGAGUAAAUCAGAAGGAGUAACUCCCAACAGCCUCUCCGCCCGGUGAGGCCUCAUCCAGCGAGCUCACCGCCCCGCAGUGUCCAGGUCGCCUGCAAGGUGUUCGGUCAAUUGACCGGACAGAGCCCAGGUACAACUAAUGUGGAUAAAGACGCCUGCUUUCUUCGUUGGAGCAAGCAGUUCAGUGGAUGGAUACCAUUUUAUGCCCACUGUUUUUGUGGUAUUAACAAUCAUGAUGCCAACAUGAUGUGCACCAUGUAUUUUAUGAUGCUAUUUAUGUAUUUAUGUAACUGGAUAAUCUUUUUCUUAUUUGCAAAUCAAAAUCAGCCCAGGCAAAUUAAUAUUGAUGACUUCCAGGCAAAUCAAAAUCAGCCCAGGCUAUUGUCUUCUGUUUCAGAUUGGUGACUGGUUGAGCUUGGUGAGCGCGGAUGGGGAGUGGAUGGCAUGGAAGAGAAGGUUGCGAGGAAGGAGAAUAAGCAGGGGAGCCAGAGCAUGAGUAGCGACCUUGCGAAUUUGGUAAAUGGGUUUCCAGGCUUUGAUUAUGCGCCAGGCAAGGUUGGUAGUUCUUUACCGGCAGCGGCGGGUGGCAGAAUGGCGAGGCCGAUUUGAACCCGGCUGCCCCUCUCUGUUGGUCUAAACGCUUAUUUUUUAUCGUUGACAAUGAAGUGUUCAUAGUCAUUUAGAUGCAGUGGCGAGCUCAUAUAGUAGCUUCAGUUCUAUCAAAUGUACAUGUUUAAUGUAGCUUCAAUGUUGCCCUUUCUUUAUCUUGAGUUCAAUGCUACACUUGGCAGGUGUCAAUGAACAUUUUUGAUAGCAGAAAAAAGACUAGAUGCACACCAUGGCACGUGUAGAAUCAGAUUUCAUCAUUCGUAUCCAUCGCUCAACAGGGUCUUCCGAGCUCAUGGAUGGGUACUGCCACAGAAAACUCGAGUCUAGAUGCAUGAAUGUGCUAGUAGUUUGUUCAGUAUACAGGUGAGUAGUUUGUUCAGUAUACAGGUGAUUGCACAUUUUCAGGUAUAUCUGAACCAUGUAUGUGACUAUAACCUGACACAUAGUUGCUUUGUACAUAAGAAUGCUUAGCUACUCGGAGCAUUUAGAGCCGUAGCCCUGCUACUGUAAAGGCAAACAAGUUCUUAUGUUUCAAGCACUAAUUGGUGAUGGAUUAUCGUGCAAUUAUUGGUAGGAAUAUAUUAGCCAACCCUAUGAGAUAAAAGUCAAGCAAUUAUUACAGGAAUACAGGGUGAGGA